AACGAACGCUGGCGGCAUGCCUAACACAUGCAAGUCGAACGAGACCUUCGGGUCUAGUGGCGCACGGGUGCGUAACGCGUGGGAACCUGCCCUUAGGUUCGGAAUAACUCCCCGAAAGGGGUGCUAAUACCGGAUAAUGUCUUCGGACCAAAGAUUUAUCGCCUUUGGAUGGGCCCGCGUUGGAUUAGCUGGUUGGUAGGGUAAAAGCAUACCAAGGCGACGAUCCAUAGCUGGUCUGAGAGGAUGAUCAGCCACACUGGGACUGAGACACGGCCCAGACUCCUACGGGAGGGAGCAGUGGGGAAUAUUAGACAAUGGGCGAAAGCGUGAUCCAGCAAUGCCGCGUGAGUGAUGAAGGCCUUAGGGUUGUAAAGCUCUUUUACCCGGGAUGAUAAUGACAGUACCGGGAGAAUAAGCUCCGGCUAACUCCGUG
rnacentral:rRNA from 1 species